rnacentral:lncRNA from 1 species
UGUAGAUUACUUACCUACAUUUUUGUAGUAAGGUCCUAGAUGAUAGGGUCUAUGUUGUUUUAUGAUCAUCAGGUAUUACAUCUAUAAAACAUUAGCAUCAGGUUUUAUUAAUUAUUAUAUUCUAGAAAAUGAAGGCGAUGCAAAGAAAAAAAAAUUUAACAUUUCACAGAGGCUCUGAGAUUAUCAGCAACAUAUCCUUAAAUGAUGUCUUACAUUUAAGUCUAAUCCAUCUUAAGUUGAUCUUUGUAUAUGGUGAUACAUAAUUCCCCAGUUUCAUUCUUCUGCAUAUGGAUACCCAGCUAUCCUAGCACCCUUUCUUGAAUAGGGAGUCUUUUUCUCAUUGCUUAUCUUUUUUUUUUUUUUUUUUUUUUUUUGGUCAACUUUUUCAAAGCUCAGAUGGUUGUGGGUGUGGGUCAGCUUUUGGAUAUGUUGCUGGAUUUGGUUUGCUAGUAUUUUGUUGAGGACCUUUGCAUGUAUGUUCAUGAGGAAUAUUAGCCUGAUGUUUUCUUUUUUUUUUUUUUUUAUUGUGUCUCUGCCAGGUUUUGGUAUCACAAUGAUGCUGGGCUCAUAGAAUAAGUCAGGGAGGAGUCUCUCCUCCGUAAUUUUUUUGAAAGAGUUUCAGUAGAAUUGGUGCCAGGUUUUUUUUAUAUGCCUGGUAGAAUUUGGCUGUGAAUCCAUCUGGUCCUGGCCUUUUUCUCAUUGGUAGGCUUUUUAUUACUGCUUCAAUUUCAGAACUUGUUAUAUUGAUCUGUUCAGGGUUUCAGUUUCUUUCUGGUUCCAUCUUGGAAGGUUGUAUGUUUCCAGGAAUUUAUUCAUUUCUUCUAGGUUUUCUAGUUUGUGUGCAUAGAGGUGUUUAUAAUAGUCUCUGAGGGCUAUUUUUUAUAUUUCUGGGGGUCAGUGUUAAUGUCCCCUUGUCAUUUCUGACUGCGUUUAUUUGGAUCUUCUCUCCUUUUCCCUCCUUCUGUCAUUCCUUCCAUCCUUCUGUCCGUCCAUCUGUCCUCCCUCCCUCCCUCCCUCCCUCCCUCCUUCUCUUCUUCCCUCUUUCCUUCCUUCUUUUUUUGUUUU